AAUCUGACUAAAUACAUAUAGGAUAUCCCAGAAGUUUUAGGGCUGUCUUAAGUUUUGUUCAUUUUAUUAUCUUAAGAUGACACUAAGACUUUGGGGACAUCUUGUAUAUAUACUCUCCAGUCCC
rnacentral:precursor_RNA from 15 species